AAAAAAAAAAAAAGAUAAAAUGCUAAGAUCGGCAGCAGGGUUAUCUUUUUGCAGACUGUCAUUUGUCUUCUCCCCAUGCCGGGACUGCCCCUGCGCCUCUUGCUCCCCUUGCCUCUCUGGAGAUAACUGCAUGACAGGCCAGGGGAGAACCCUUUUCUCCAGGGGAGAUGUGGUAAAGUCUAAAAGCGUUCCUAAGGAAAGGAGUGACCUGCACCCAUUAUCAUCAUCCUGACACAGCUGAGAGGGCUUGGGCUUUCGGCUCCUAAGCAGGCAUCCCCUGAGCCUCCUCCAGGAGGGCAGCGUGAACGUUGCUGGAGAUCCAACAAUCAAGGCUUCUCUAGUAGGAUGCGUCAGGGAAGCUCUGAAGCCACGUCAGGAUGUAGAGUAUUUCCCUCACCCCAAGGUUCCCUGUGCCCCUUAGAGCUGUGCCCACCAUAUUUUGUAUCCUGAAACUUGACUGAAUUCAUUUAUCAAAUCUAGUGAUAGUUGGAGGAGUCUUUAGGGUGAGAAGACUUGUGAUUGUCUUUCAAGAAGUUGUUAGCUACUUUGUAAUUAACUCAACCUUCAAGGAUGGAGGUUGUAUUACUACCUGAAGUAGACUGUACACCAAUCUGUUGGUACACUCUGACUACCUGGAAAGGGUUGACAGAAUUAUAUAAGGCUACAUCACUAAAUGGGCAGAAUUUUAACACUGAGUGUAAUGCUCAGUGUUCCAUACAGCUACCUUCAGGAAAAGAGCUCCCAUCCCAUCUCUUCUGGGUUACUUGAGAAAUUUGUCUAUAGUGUGCAACUGUCAUCCAAAUGUGUCCUCUCUUGCCUGAUAUAGUAUCCUAUGCAGUGCUUCUCCAACAAAGCUAUAAGCUCUUUAGGGAAAACAAGCAUGUCUUCAUUUCCCAUAGCAGGGCUGUAGAUAGACACUCAACACAUACUCGGUGAUGGAUCGAUUCAGGUCCAAGUCCAGCACCGUUUAUUUACUUAGCAUCUAUAGCACCAGGCGUCAGACUGCGGAUACAGAGAUGAAAGACAUUCCCUCUAUCAAAGAACUUCAAAUUCCAGUGGAGCAAGCCGAUUAGCCAACAGUUACAAUGCAAUGUGAUUAGCAUGACCAAGGAAGGCCCAGAUGAGGAGAGUCCUCUGGGAAGGGCUCGGUGAGAAGCUCACUUUUAAACCAGCCCAGCCUUUUGUUCUUUUUUUUCCAGAGACAUGGUCUUGCUCUGUUGUCCAGGCUGAAGUGCAGUGGCAUUAUCAUAGCUCACUGCAGCCUUGAACUCCUGGGCUCAAGUGAUCCUCUUGCCUCAGCUUCCCAAGUAGCUGGGACAAUAGGUGUGCACCACCACACCCAGCUAAUUUUUAAUUUUUUUUUUUUUUUUUUUGUAGAGACAGGGUUUCACUAUGUUGCCCAGGCUAGUCUCGAACUUCUGGGCUCAAGCGAUCCUCCCACCUUGGCCUCCCAAAGCUCUGGGGUUAUAGGCAUGAGCCACCGUGCCCGGCCCAGCUAAGCCUUGAAGGAUGAGAGGAAACCAGAGUUCAUCAGGAGGAGGCUGGGGAAAGCUAGGGCCCGGCACACAGUGCACGUUCUGAAGCUCAAUGCAUCUCCUGGGGUAUUUCACCACAUCUUCCUCGAUGUGGCUUUCAACUACAUUUAAGACCGAAUUCUGCUUUCUUUCUAUUAUAUUCAUGAAAGUGUGGGGCCUGUUACUCAAGGGCCAGCAGUGAUGUGAGGAAUGCCAGGGCCGAGCUCACAGAGGAAGCGAGGCGGCAGAGCUCCAUGCUCCACCUCCAGGGUCUCAGUGCCUUUUUUCCUGUGCAAAGUCGAUAUCCACUGAGAGACUUCAGCGUUUGCCCCUAAGGCUCAGAUAGGCCACAGUGAUUUUUUUUUCCCUAUGAAAUUUAAAAACAAUCAAUGUCCAGGGUGGACUUGGGGAAAUCCUGUUUCAUAUUUUAUCCUGAAUGACUUCAAAACAAACCUGCUUUUAUCUCUAAAACAUUCCUUUCAGUUAAACACCUUGUGGGGCGCUUUAUUGCUCAGUCUAUUCACAAUGGCAGUUUUUAUAGAGACCCUUAUUUUCAAAGAAAUGCACACUGCCUGUUUACCUAAUGGGCCAGACAAUGACUAAGGGGCAAAUUACAUAAAGAUCAUUACGCGGACUUAGCAUGUGCUCUCGUCCUGUGACUCACAGGGCAACUUGUUUGUGUUGCAUUUAUGGGCAGAGGUGCUUUAAAAAACAUUUGAUAGAGCAAGAAUUGUGAAAGAAUGCCAGUCAUCGAAAACUUCUGCCCAAAGAGGGAUGCUUUGACGGCUAGAGACAAUGCUGUUGAAAUCAAAAGUGUGCUGGGGUGCCACAGAGCUUUCCACAGCCCGACUGCCUCAACAUGGUCCUUGAUCCUCUGGGAGAGCAAAUUCCAGGCUUAAACAGAAACCACCACUUU
rnacentral:lncRNA from 10 species